rnacentral:rRNA from 1 species
CGGCGGACGGGUGAGUAAUGCCUAGGAAUCUGCCUGGUAGUGGGGGACGAACGUUUCGAAAGGAACGCUAAUACCGCAUACGUCUACGGGAGAAAGCAGGGACCUUCGGGCCUUGCGCUAUCAGAUGAGCCUAGGUCGGAUUAGCUAGUUGGUGAGGUAAUGGCUCACCAAGGCGACGAUCCGUAACUGGUCUGAGAGGAUGAUCAGUCACACUGGAACUGAGACACGGUCCAGACUCCUACGGGAGGCAGCAGU